GCCGCAAGGCAUCUGUGAAGGUGCUGCAUGGUUGUCGUCAGCUCGUGCCGUGAGGUGUCGGCUUAAGUGCCAUAACGAGCGCAACCCUUGUUGUCAGUUACUAACAGGUUCCGCUGAGGACUCUGACAAGACUGCCAUCGUAAGAUGUGAGGAAGGUGGGGAUGACGUCAAAUCAGCACGGCCCUUACGUCCGGGGCUACACACGUGUUACAAUGGGGGGUACAGAGGGCCGCUACCACGCGAGUGGAUGCCAAUCCCAAAAACCUCUCUCAGUUCGGACUGGAGUCUGCAACCCGACUCCACGAAGCUGGAUUCGCUAGUAAUCGCGCAUCAGCCACGGCGCGGUGAAUACGUUCCCGGGCCUUGUACACACCGCCCGUCAAGCCAUGGGAGCCGGGGGUACCUGAAGUGCGUAACCGCGAGGAGCGCCCUAGGGUAAAACUGGUGACUGGGGCUAAGUCGUAACAAGGUAGCCGUACCGGAAGGUGCGGCUGGAUCACCUC
rnacentral:rRNA from 1 species